CCUACGGGAGGCAGCAGUGGGGAAUCUUGCGCAAUGGGCGAAAGCCUGACGCAGCAACGCCGCGUGCGGGAAGAAGGCUUUCGGGCUGUAAACCGCUUUCAGCAGGAACGAAAAUGACGGUACCUGCAGAAGAAGGAGCGGCCAACUAUGUGCCAGCAGCCGCGGUGAUACAUAGGCUUCAAGCGUUGUCCGGAUUUAUUGGGCGUAAAGAGUUCGUAGGCGGUCGAGUAAGUCGGGUGUGAAAAUUCUGGGCUCAACCCAGAGACGCCACCCGAUACUGCUUGACUUGAGUUCGAUAGGGGAGUGGGGAAUUCCUAGUGUAGCGGUGAAAUGCGCAGAUAUUAGGAGGAACACCGGUGGCGAAGGCGCCACUCUGGAUCGAUACUGACGCUGAGGAACGAAAGCAUGGGUAGCAAACAGGAUUAGAUACCCUGGUAGUCCAUGCCGUAAACGGUGGGCACUAGGUGUGGGUUUCUAUUAACGAAAUCCGCGCCGUCGCUAACGCAUUAAAGUGCCCCGCCUGGGGGAGGUACGGUCGCGAGAACUAAACUAACAAAGAAGUAGACGGACGNGAGACGUAGCGAACGACGACGACGAGGGAGGUAGGAG
rnacentral:rRNA from 1 species